UGCGGAGGAAAAGAAACCAACAGGGAUUGCCCUAGUAACGGCGAGUGAAGCGGCAACAGCUCAAAUUUGAAAGCUAGCCUUCGGGUUCGCAUUGUAAUUUGUAGAGGAUGAUUUGGGGAAGCCGCCUGUCUAAGUUCCUUGGAACAGGACGUCAUAGAGGGUGAGAAUCCCGUAUGUGACAGGAAAUGGCACCCUAUGUAAAUCUCCUUCGACGAGUCGAGUUGUUUGGGAAUGCAGCUCUAAAUGGGAGGUAAAUUUCUUCUAAAGCUAAAUAUUGGCGAGAGACCGAUAGCGCACAAGUAGAGUGAUCGAAAGAUGAAAAGCACUUUGGAAAGAGAGUUAAAAAGCACGUGAAAUUGUUGAAAGGGAAGCGCUUGCAAUCAGACUUGUUUAAACUGUUCGGCCGGUCUUCUGACCGGUUUACUCAGUUUGGACAGGCCAGCAUCAGUUUCGGCGGCCGGAUAAAGGCUCUGGGAAUGUGGCCUCCACUUCGGUGGAGGUGUUAUAGCCCAGGGUGUAAUACGGCCAGCCGGGACUGAGGUCCGCGCUCGGCU
rnacentral:rRNA from 1 species